GAGGGAAACGCCCGGUCACAUUCCGAACCCGGAAGCUAAGCCUCUCAGCGCCGAUGGUACUGCAAGGGGGACCUUGUGGGAGAGUAGGACACCGCC
rnacentral:rRNA from 1 species